UGUUGGGUUAAUAUAUGUCUUUCCCACACGGUCCAACUAAAUUUAAAAUAACGUUACUUUUGUAUUCUGGUCAUAACGAUUACUUUUAAACUUUAAAGGAUAUGUCAAUAAAAUAAAGAUUUUUCCAAGAUAAUUAACAGAAACAGCAAUGGUGUACGUGUGUGUGUGGGGGGCGGGGGUCACAGUAGUAUGGAAGUUCUACAUUUCUUAAUGUUGCCUUGUCCAAAUUUCCAUGACCACAAUGUGUUGAAAAAUCCACAUCAGCUGCAAGAACGUUUCUGCUUUCUCCUGUUAAUGCAAGGACUCUAAACUCAAACUGUAAAGCUACUCAGUCAGCAAAGGCGUGCAUGAUGUCUCACGAAUUAUAUACUCCGUACUGCGACAGGUCUUACACCUUCCCAUCGGUGGGCCCAGAGAGGAAAAGGCUCCAACACAACUUUACAAUUUUUAACAUUUGGGAUGAGAGCUAUUGCCGUGCUCGUCCGAUGUACAACAAUGUGAUACACAACUGCACAGAACUGUUAAUAAUUUUGCUGCUUUUAUAUAUGGUUGGUGAUUGGUGCAUGUUCAUCAGAACCUAGUUUCAACAAUGUGACUUACAUUUACUGAAAAGACUAAUUAUAGGCAGCAUAAGUGUUGCGUUACCCAUGUUGUUUAACUGUUGAUCUGAUACCAGGCAUCUGCCGUAUAAACAAACUCAAUUAGGUCUAUUCCAGUGCAUGCAUUUAAUCUAAAAAGCUAAACGAAUAAAGUACUCCUCCUUUGUUUAAAAAAAUGAAAACACGUACACAAGGCUGCAUACCUUUAUAAAUGCAUUAAAGCUUUAUCCAAGAGAAGAAAACCUUUAAAAAUUUGGACUCAACAGGUAGCAUUUGGCUGAUAAAUGUACAUAGCGCAAAUCUUUGCCAAGUGGGGGGUCUAAUAAAGGCAUCUUACGUUUAUACUUGCAGAAAUCAGGAAAAAUCAGCACCAGGAAAAAAAAAAACAUGGGAACUAGUGCCCCGCGUUUAUGGGGGUGACAGGUUAAGAGAUAACUGGUGAUGACUGUCUACUGGAAUUACACCGACGGAGUUAUGGACAUUUCUGGACAUCGCGUAGUAGGUACAGUACACAGUUUGCUGGCUAGUACAAACUCAGGCAAAUAAUAAGCUGUCCUGCCAAUUUGCUUAGAAACGUUGUGGGGGUUCUCUAACGUCUACACUUAGGAGCUAGGUAUACAGAUCACUUCCCGUUCAGUUUUGCAAUUUAACAGUGGACAUGGAAUGGUUGAAAUAUAGUCCAAAAUGUCUGCUUCUCCAUUCAAAGUGAAGUCAGAAGUUUAGCCAAGUCGUGGUGUGAAGCAAUGUAUGCUCCAACAGUCACAAAGGAAAAACAGUACUUCCGAAGUGCGCAGCAGAUGAAUAUCAAUAAAUAUAACAACUGAUUGGUUGCAGUGAAUUAUGAGAUAUAUUAAACCCUUUAAAAUGAUAAAUAAUUACAUAAUGUCAGGUGCAGAGUAUAAAUUUUUAAUAUUAGACUCCUACAAAUUAGGUUGUGACUCUGUGUGCAUACUACUAAAGGCAUACAUUUAUAAACAAUGACGUUGUUAAUAUUUGUUUAAUAUUUUAAGCAAGCCACUUCAUUGACGCUUGACAUAACUCAUGAAAGUGGAACAUGGUCUAUGAAGUGCAGGCAGAAAAACACUUUGAUUAAUAAGAAUGAUGAUGAUGAUAAUAAUAAUCCUAGAGCACAGUUUCAUCUGGGUGAGCAGGCACGAUGAUUGCAGAGAAACAGACGCAUUUUAGACUGUUGUGCCUAAACUACUUUUUACUUCUAUGGGUGGUUUACUUAUAGUCCUAGAUAUAUCGAAACACUGCUGUUUGUAUACGUAUAUAAGCAUGCACAUUAGGGUGGGAUUGUUUUUUACUUCGCUAUUUCCACGCCUGUGCAAAUAAUAAAGACAUCAUAGAAAGCAUACUGUUUCUUUUAAGAAUGAUGCUUGAUACGUACCUCACCG